UACGGAGGAUGCGAGCGUUAUCCGGAUUUAUUGGGUUUAAAGGGUGCGUAGGCGGAAUAUCAAGUCAGCGGUAAAAAUUCGGGGCUCAACCCCGUCGUGCCGUUGAAACUGAUGUUCUUGAGUGGGCGAGAAGUAUGCGGAAUGCGUGGUGUAGCGGUGAAAUGCAUAGAUAUCACGCAGAACUCCGAUUGCGAAGGCAGCAUACCGGCGCCCAACUGACGCUGAAGCACGAAAGCGUGG
rnacentral:rRNA from 1 species